UUAAGUUCGGCGGGUAAUCCUGCCUGAUUUGAGGUCAAGGCGUUAAAGAAUAGAGUGACGGGGGCGGGGCGCGUCUCCCCGGGGACGACGCGAGACUUAUCACGCGUCUUCAAUGGGGGGACUCGAAACCUCGCCGAUGAAUUUGAAGACGAGCCUCCGGCGAGGAGGCAAAAGACCGUCCAAUUCCGAAAAUGGAACCC
rnacentral:misc_RNA from 1 species